rnacentral:rRNA from 1 species
GACGGACGCUGGCGGCGUGCUUAACACAUGCAAGUCGAGCGGUAAGGCCCUUUCGGGGGUACGACGAGCGGCGAACGGGUGAGUAACACGUGGGUGACCUGCCCUCAGCUCUGGGAUAAAGCCUGGGAAACUGGGUCUAAUACUGGAUAUGACUCCACGGUGCAUGUCGUGGGGUGGAAAGCCUUGUGCGGCUGAGGAUGGGCCCGCGGCCUAUCAGCUUGUUGGUGGGGUGAUGGCCUACCAAGGCGACGACGGGUAGCCGGCCUGAGAGGGCGACCGGCCACACUGGGACUGAGACACGGCCCAGACUCCUACGGGAGGGCAGCAGUGGGGAAUCUUGCGCAAUGGGCGAAAGCCUGACGCAGCGACGCCGCGUGAGGGAUGACGGCCUGG